CGGGGAGGUGAAGGCGUUCGGGAACCUUGGCGGGAGGUCCAGGAUGUGAGGUCCAGCAUCUUCGCGGAUGCAGAUGAUUAAGAGAAACCACUAGAAGGAGAAGCCUGACUUUGUGAAUCACAGGAAGGAUGUCCAUAGAACACCCAAUUGAAACAUGCCGGCCAUACUUCAAAAGCACCAGCUCUCAGAAGCAGUAACUCUGAGAAUGGCACCAUUGGCAGCAUCUGGCUCAUCAUUGACCUGGAGACUCUGGCUCUGUGUAGCAGCCCAUCCACACAAACGUGCCUGUGAUUGACCCACAAAAUGUACUCACUCCAUGAGUGAGAUUGAAUGACUUGAAUGGGCCAGGGGUAGUAAUGUGUGCACAGAAAUCUAUAACAUAUUUUUCUUUUUUGAAACUGUGAAUGCCACUUGUCAUAAUAAAGAAUUUUCUUUUCAU